AGAGUUUGAUCCUGGCUCAGAUUGAACGCUGGCGGCAGGCUUAACACAUGCAAGUCGAGCGGUAACAUUUCUAGCUUGCUAGAAGAUGACGAGCGGCGGACGGGUGAGUAAUGCUUGGGAAUAUGCCUUAUGGUGGGGGACAACAGUUGGAAACGACUGCUAAUACCGCAUAACGUCUACGGACCAAAGGGGGGGAUCUUCGGACCUCUCGCCAUUUGAUUAGCCCAAGUGAGAUUAGCUAGUUGGUGAGGUAAUGGCUCACCAAGGCGACGAUCUCUAGCUGGUUUGAGAGGAUGAUCAGCCACACUGGGACUGAGACACGGCCCAGACUCCUACGGGAGGCAGCAGUGGGGAAUAUUGCACAAUGGGCGAAAGCCUGAUGCAG
rnacentral:rRNA from 1 species